rnacentral:rRNA from 1 species
UACAGGAGGUCAUCAGCGUUGUUCGGAUUCAUUGGGCGUAAAGGGUGCGUAGGUGGCGCCGUAAGUCGGGUGUGAAAUUUCGGAGCUUAACUCCGAAACUGCAUUCGAUACUGCGGUGCUUGAGGACUGGAGAGGAGACUGGAAUUCAUGGUGUAGCAGUGAAAUGCGUAGAGAUCAUGAGGAAGACCAGUGGCGAAGGCGGGUCUCUGGACAGUUCCUGACACUGAGGCACGAAAGCGUGGGGAGCAAACAGG